UACAGAGGGGGCAAGCGUUGUUCGGAAUUACUGGGCGUAAAGGGCGCGUAGGCGGCCUGCUAAGUCGAACGUGAAAUCCCCGGGCUCAACCCGGGAACUGCGUCCGAUACUGGCAGGCUUGAAUUCGGGAGAGGGAUGUGGAAUUCCAGGUGUAGCGGUGAAAUGACGUAGAUAUCUGGAGGAACACCGGUGGCGAAGGCGGCAUCCUGGACCGAUACUGACGCUCAGGCGCGACAGCGUGGGGACGCAAACGAGG
rnacentral:rRNA from 1 species